rnacentral:lncRNA from 1 species
GAUUGGCGAUGCUUUAUUCUUUCAGAAGUCUUUCCUCCCUUCUCUUGGGAAACUCUACUCCGGGAGUGUUUACUGUCCCUGGGGAUGAAUUACAUCUUUGUACACUAGUUCUUUAGCGAUGUCAAGUUCACCUCGCUUCUCCACCCCCCUCUUCAGGUCAGCAUUUACAAAUAAACACUUUCCAUAUUUUAAAUUUUCUCUUUCCCUACUAGUUUUUAUGCGGUUUAGCAUCUCCAGUUUUUUCCCCUCCAGGUGGACUGGGAUUUAGUUUUGUAUUGGUCCCUCUUUUUGUUUUGUAAACGACUUUAUUGUUUGGGAAACCUUAGGGGAGGUGAACAAGCUCUUUGGUAAGUUCCAGUGGAUCUAUGGGAAUAACAAUGUGGAAUAUUUUACACAUUUUCUUCACUUUUAAAAAAAACUUUGACUUUUAUGUAUUCACUUCAAUUUAAGAAUCCUGACCUUGUAGCCUUUGUAAGCUAAGCCUUUAUUAUUAUUAUUAUUAUUAUUAUUAUUAUUAUUAUUAUUAUUAUUUCCUAAGCCUCACCAUCUUACACAUUUCUCCCUUUUCCUCCGCCCCCCUUUCUACCCCAGACUCCCCCCCUUUCUACCCCAGACUCUUCCAUCUCAGAAGUCACAUUCCUAUUCCUACACUGUCCCAAUUGGGGACACCUCCCUCUGCUUCCAAAGUCAGCUGAGAUAGGAAGGUCAGAGUGUCCUCCAACUUUUAAUUUUAGGUUGAAUUUCUUUUCAUUUGUCUGUUCUUUGGCACACAGAGUUGAAUUUUUAGUUCUUGUUGUUUUUUUUUUUUUCCCUUAAGUUUUAGAAAAAUGCAAGCAAGUUUCAUUUCUGCCUAUUGGGCCUUUUAUCUUCUGCGGGAGAACUCCCAGAAGAGAAAUACAGUGUUUACUUUCACUUUACAUUUGAUCAAGCUGGUGUCUGCAGAGGUGGGGGUAUUCCUUUUGUGUUUGUUUUUUAGACAACAUUUUACUAUGUAGCCCUGUCUGGCCUGAAAGUCAACUAUGUAGACCAGGCUGGCCUCCAACUCUCAGAGAUCACCUGCCUGUGCCUAUAUAAGUGCUGGGAUUAAAAAUGUAUGCCAUCACUCCUGGCUAAUUCUUCCUUUUUAAAGAUGUUACUAAGAAGGUAAACUGAUAAAUGUGAAAUCUAGAGUUCUAAUCUAUUCAGAAUUAUUGAAGCUACAAAAGUAAGAUUGCAAGAGUAACUCACGCUCUGGGAAGAUGGGAAGAUGGCCCAGGUGACUGUAUGUCCCUUGUGCCUCUGUGCUGGGCAGAAGAAGAGGAGCUGCUCCUCCCUCUGGUCCCAGCUCCAUUGUCACAUUGACAUUCUGGGCACAUGUGGCCCAGCCCCCACCGGCUCCUCCAAGUAUGAAUCUAAAUUACUAUUAAUAAGGGGCUGCUCCAAGCUAAUUGGCAUUAAAAGAAUUCAUUUCAAUUUGUUAAUAUUAAAUGAACACUCUGCACUUUAGCUCCCUUCCUCGCCCUGGAUUCCCAGAUGAGUGAUGGGAAGCAGGGCGGGGGAGCAGGCAGGAUUUUAUGUCUGGCUUUCUAGCUUGGCCACUGUUGGGCCUUCCCUGGUGUUGUGAGACCAGGCAAGGUGGAGGCCUGAUGGGGGGAAAUCCAAGGGUCUUAUUCUUUAUCAUCCUGUAAAGCGGGAGCUGUGGGUAAGGGUGAGUGAAGGGGGUCAAAAGAGAGACAUAAAAAGGUUUAGGGGAUAGUGUGGUGGAAAAAGUGGCUAGGAGACUGGGAAGGUAAGUCAAUGGGCUGAAUAGAAAUUUGAAAACACAAGGGUUGUGGGCAAUGGGUGAGAUGGAUUUAGGAAGAAAGGCCCGUGCAGCUGAAAAUCUGACCCCAGGCUUAGGGCAAGCAGCCGGGGUUUUGCAGCUGCUAGCAAGGGACCCUGGACUUUUCUAUCAUUUCAGUUUCUUGGUCUGUGAAGCAAGGAUUAUAAAAUGAAGGAUAUGUCUUAGGGUUGUCUGAGAUUCCAUGAAACACACAUGAUGUGUUCUGCAGCAUGCUGGGUACAUAGGUAACACUACUACAUGUUGCCUCACUUUCUGAUCCAGUAAUUGAUGGAUUGGACUCUCAGACCUGCCUUGAAUUAGUUGUAUGCUCUCCAAGCAAUUAUUUGAGCAGUGCAUGCCUGUUUUCUUAUUGGUAUCAGAGUCAAUAGCUUCUGGGCUCAGGCAUGGAAGAUAGAAGGGAAUUUCAGUGCAAAGUGCCUGGAACAACUCAAGUCUCAUCAUGCUACAUGAAAGCUGCUAUGGACAAUGUUGCCCUUUGGGUGAGCAAGGUGAGAAUAAGCAGGUUGAGAAGGCUCCCCACAGCUAUAUAAGGAGCUGCACAUUGAAAGUUGAGUUCUAAUCUUUUUUCCUUUAUUAUAGAAAAAAAUAUAUAUACAAGAUGGUUAGAUGCUUAAACUAUAGUAGCCAUGAAGACUUUUCUUUUGGGUUUUGAGACAGGAUCUCUUGCAGCCCAAGCUGGCCUAAAACUUGCAAUGAAACAAUCAAAGGGUGACCUUGAACUUCUGGUUCACCUGACUCUGCUUCUCAAGUGCUGGGCUUACAGGUAGGAGCCACCAUGACUAGUCUAUAGAAACAUAGCUUAAUGUCUUCCUGUGCUGUACUUCUGAAGGAGGCAGUAAAAGAAUUCAACCUGAAAGGAAAGGCAGUACACAUGUAAAGUCAGGUGGAGGAUGGGGCCAGAUCACUACAGCAGAUGGAGUGGCAUGUGGGUGGGUGGGUGGGAGAUAGUAUUCUGAUAUUCCAUCUGAGAAGAUUUCCCAGAGGAGGUAACUAUAGGUUAGGAUUCCAGUGGAUGUGAAAGAUAAUAGGAAUAGAAAAAUAUAGGGAAGAAGUUAUACAUUGAUGAGAAAGAGGAAGAAUCAUGCCAAGGCCGGCUAAGAGUAGGGAGAUAAAGCAUAAUUGUCUUGCUGACACCAAAUCAAAGUAAUCACCACUCACUGAAGGCAUACUGUGUGCAAGGCACAUAAGAUUGUGCAAGGUACAUAAGAAUCACUACUCACUGAGGGGUUAGCAGUGGGCAAGACUAUGUGAGGGAGUUGCGGUCAGACAGUGGAGACAGGAACUGUUCUCAUAUCUACAUGAAGAAGGAUGAAGGAAUGCUCUAUGGACAGAGCUGCUAAGUUACUCUUCUGGGACUGCUGUUUGUGGAUGAAUCACAGGGCCCUGACUGGGCUGCAACACUUCCAGGUGAUGGUUUUAAUGGCUUUCCCCUGGGGACAUCCAGUGAGGAUUUGAGUCCUCAGUAAAGAGUGUCAGUUGUCACAGAAGUCUUAUUCUCUUUUUGUAUGACUGCAGGGCCUUCUAUUCCAACACCUCUUCCAGCGACCUGGUCAGGUGUGGCCAAUGGAAGCAAGAGCCCAGUGAAGUCGCCUAAGUCCGAGGGCAUGGUGUAACUCACACGGAGCACAACCCUACUUGGAAUGGACCAUUCGUGGCUUUAGAAUCUUGAUGGACACGAGCAACUGUCGGCACAAUCUAUUUAAGAGUAUUCUGAGCCCUCAGAGAGCAGCCUUCUGCCCACAGGUGACCAAAUCCUUAUCCUCAAUAACCCUUCUAACUGAGCAGCCAACGAGCUGCCCUCUACCUAUUCAGGACAGCCUAGGAAUGGCUUCAUGCAGUAGGUGGCCUUCUGUGAUUGGCUCCUUUUCCUUGGUUCUUAUGCGUUGCUGUGUCAAAGCACGCAUCCAUUCUCCUUCCUUCUCAUGGAUGAGUUACUUCAACGGUAGACAGACCACCUUCCAGGUAUGUGUUCAUCAGUACAUGGGCAUUUAGGUUGUUCCCAUGUCCAGAAAUUAUGAUUUUCUAUGUCUCUAGACAGUUUGAAUCAUCUAGAGUGAGCUCUGCAGCCAGGAACAGGCCUGACUUAUGUGUGGGAACCUCCAGUGUCCAUGGAAGCCAGGCUUUUGCACCUGGUCCAGGUGCUUCUCCCCUGGUUACAUUGCUGAGGAUGGCCAUUGACCCAGCAGCUCUCUAUUUGUCCCCUUGCUGUCCUCAGACCCCUCUCCUGCAGCUUCAGAGUCUGAGUGGAGAAACAGGAAUACUUCCCCAAGAUUGGCCCCAUGUAAUCCUCUAUGUGUGCUACUGGUAAAUGGAAACCUUCGGGCCAAGGGAAAGUCAAGUUCUUGAGGGUGUGUCUGCUUCAGAGUCCAGGUCUCCUUCCCAUGUCCCACCUCACUUCUCUCAGUCUACUCUUUCUUCUGCUGACACCAGAAACUGCCCUACCUGCAUCAAUCCUAACAUACCAGUGGGACCAGCAGGAUGCAUACAAGAAGUCCAAAUAGUGCCAGGUUGCAUUUGUUGAAUGAGUGGAUGAGGGAUGAUUCCAUACUCUGGAAAUAAACUGUGGAGAAGGUCAGUUAUAAAUCUCUAUCUAUUACUACCCCUUUCCUAGUCUGGAAAUCAGCAUUUUCCUCACAAAGGUGGGUGAAGAAAGCACAAAAUGCUACCUCUAUAAUAGCUGCUAUUUAUUGGACCGGCAUUUAUAUGUCUGAUUGGUUUCAUAUCUCUCUCUCUCUCUCUCUCUCUCUCUCUCUCUCUCUCUCCCUCUCUCAGGCAAAGUUUCACAUAGCCCAGGCUGACCUGGAAUUUUCACAAUGUGACCGAGAAUAACCUUGAGCUUUUGAUCCUCCUGUUUCUAAUCCCAAGUGCUGGGAUCACAGGUGUGUGCGGAGACACUUGAUUUACUUGGUGCUGGGAAUAAAACCCAAGGCUUCUUGCACACUAUUCUACCGACUUCGCCAACAUGCUUUUCACCUCCUGAGCAAGUAUAAUAAAACUCAUUUUAAUUUCUC